CCUUCUGUCUGUCUCUCAGCGCUCUCUUGGUCGCUCUUUUGCCCGAGGCGAAGCACUGCUCAAACCGCUGCGAAGUCUUUGUCAAUGGCUUAUGAUGCUGAAGGCACUUCACUUGCAGGCACAUACCCAGACUAAAGUUGCUUAGAAAAGAGCUACCUUCUCUCUCCGCUUUGAGUAGUUGUUUGCACAAGAAGCAGAUUGAGCAGGGGAAGAACUACCAAGCCCGUUGAUUGUCAAGCUUUCCGGGUUUGGAUGAGCUACUCCAGUAGUAGUGACAAGGUGUGAGGCAGUGAGACUCACACCAACCUUCGCCCCCGUCAGCCAUGCCGCCCGCCAGCAGAUACUGUCAAGGUGGCAUUGAGUGCCGGGGCCUUCCCCAAACUCAUGGGAAUAGACCAG